CUGUAGCCAAUUGAGCAGACCCAAAUUCCUUUCCUGGUGGGGACAUGGAGUGUGAGGAUUGCAAACAGCCACCUCCUUGGAGUGUAGGCAGCCUGUUGCUUUGGGUUGCCCUGAGGGACUUUCAAGGCAAUU
rnacentral:snoRNA from 1 species